GGUAUGGGAUGAGCUUGCGUCCGAUUAGCUAGUUGGCGGGGCAACGGCCCACCAAGGCGACGAUCGGUAGCCGGCCUGAGAGGGUGAUCGGCCACAUUGGGACUGAGAUACGGCCCAGACUCCUACGGGAGGCAGCAGUAGGGAAUAUUGCACAAUGGGGGGAACCCUGAUGCAGCAACGCCACGUGUGGGAAGAAGCAUUUCGGUGUGCAAACCACUGUCAUGAGGGAAUAAGGCCCGCCUUCGGACGGGAUUGAAUGUACCUUGAGAGGAAGCACCGGCAAACUUCGUGCCAGCAGCCGCGGUAAUACGAGGGGUGCAAGCGUUGUUCGGAAUUACUGGGCGUAAAGGGAGCGUAGGCGGAGAUUCAAGCGGAUUGUACAAUCCCGGGGCCCAACCCCGGCUCUGCAGUCCGAACUGGAUCUCUUGGAUAGUUCAGGGGCAGGC
rnacentral:rRNA from 1 species